GUUUUGAAGCAGCAUAGCUUUUGUUAAUUUGAGAAAGACAUUGUUAAGAGAAUCUUGUGUGGAAGUCUUUGGAGUAUAGUAGAAAUGCCUCGAGGCUGAAGUAGAAUCUUCCUCUUAACUAGGCCACUAAAGAGAUGUUGAAAAAACCUGAGUCUGUAGUACCAGCUACUUGGGCUGCUUCUAUGAGGGAGAAGCCACUAAUGCUCACACCACUGGUUUUAGGGUGUUCCCUCACAGCUGAGUCUAACCCUUAGGGGAGUGAGGGCAGACGAGUUUAUCUGAGGGGCUGUUCCUCUAUAUGGUCCCACACAUUUGUGUGGGAUAGAGCUAAUGGAAGGAAAUAAAUAAAAAGUCUGUAUCUUGUCAAUAUCAAGCAGUGCUACAGCAGAGCUACAAAUUUUGCAGUAAUAAAAGACAUACUGUUGCCAAAAAGACAUUGACUCAUUCA
rnacentral:lncRNA from 1 species